GAACACUUUGAAUAUGGAGUAGGUAAAUGUAAUGAAUUAUAUCAUUAAUCUAAAUCUUAUUUUAUAGAACUUAAAUAAAAUAUUAAUUUUAUGCCCUAAAUUAUUCUUAAUUUUCAAAUAAUUUAAUUAAAAAAUAUAAAAAAAUUAAAAAAGUGUUGGCCGUAUUUAGACAAAGAAGAACUGUUUCUAGAAGAAGGAGACCUUUUCUUUUUAUUUAAUAAAAAAGGUGUUGCAAGUUGCAAGGUAACUUAUUAAAUGGUUACGUGAAACUACACGAUUGCCGCACUAAUGCCUAAUACACUACACGUCACCAAUCGUACUCAUUCGAUGAUAGGAAAAGCUGCCAACUGCACAAGAAUCUUAGCCCUUCAUCCUUUUGACGGUCGAGAUCUUAUUUAGCUUGCUCACGUCAACGCGGCUUUUGCCUCUGACGUCACUAUGGGUUCCCCUAUUAUUAUUACACCUAUAACACUAACCUACUUGAGAAUUAAAACUUUGCCCUGCUUUUAUUAUUAUUAUUAUUUUUU
rnacentral:misc_RNA from 1 species